UACGUAGGGGCCUAGCGUUGUCCGGAGUUACUGGGCGUAAAGGGUGCGUAGGUGGCGAGGUAAGUUUGAUGUGAAAUCUCCGAGCUCAACUCGGAAAUGGCAUUGAAUACUAUCCCGCUUGAGGGUCGGAGGGGAGACUGGAAUUCUCGGUGUAGCAGUGAAAUGCGUAGAUAUCUGGAGGAACACCGGUGGCGAAGGCGGCAUCCUGGACCGGCAUUGACGCUGAGGCGCGAAAGCCAGGGGAGCAAACGGG
rnacentral:rRNA from 1 species